rnacentral:tRNA from 1 species
GCUGUUUUGGCUCAGCGGAUAGAGCUUCAGACUUCAGACCAAAGGGUUCUGGGUUCAAUUCCCGUAAAGGGCA